GACAGUUUAGCCAUAUUAAAUUAUACUAGCAAGGCCUAUUUUAUAUAACACUACAAACGUAGUCAGAUGAGAGACAAGUGGAAAAAGAAUACCUUUCAGUGCUAUUCACCUGGGAAAGCUUCAAGCUGUACAAUUAAGGAGAAAUUAAACACACAUUAGUAAGGCAAGCAAUGAGUCGGCCACAGGAGAACAGGUGAAGGUAAUUCUCCUGUGCUACCGGAAGGAGUGAAGCCUGGCUCCACCUCUCCUAGGUCCCAUUUCAGUGCUGACUGCCACUGAGGAAGGAUCUCUUCCUGGAGAUCACUCCUUGUGGAGAAUAUUGCAAGCUUACAACAUUGACCAGCAAGACUUCACACAAGAUAAAUAUGGCAUGUUGCCUCCUAUGAAGACGUAAUAUCUCUGGAAAGAAGCAACAAAGACAAAUGCAUUUUACAGAAACCUAAAGAUUAACUCAUCUCACCUGGCUGCAGACAGACAAGUAUGUCAUCUGAACUAUGUUCUUACUCUGCCUUUAAAGUCAAUGGACCGAGAUCUCUGAAUGUGUUAAACUGCCUUGGAGGUUAGGAAACCUCCUGGUAUCACUGUUCUUGGAUGCCCAGCCAUAGAUGAAAGAUGUUCUCAGCCCGUGUCCUGAGGUGGCAGCUGCCCUGGUCCCUCAUAUGCAAAGCACAGGGAAGCUACAGCUCUAAUUAAUCCACAACCACCCUGUGUCACCAGCAGACUUCUGCAAAUUGAUUUCUUUUUGGUACAAAAUUCCACAUAUCACUUGCUCUAAGUAUGGUGCUGUGCCCACUAAAAGUAUGUGCAUUUCUGUGUGUGACCUAAGGAAGGGAAAAGGGCCUGGUUAUUUAUUAUUACUCUAAGUUUUUUCUCAGGAGGAACUAUUGAUGUCCUUACCUUUAUUCAGCCUCUCUAAAUAAAU